rnacentral:rRNA from 1 species
UACGUAGGGUGCGAGCGUUAAUCGGAAUUACUGGGCGUAAAGCGUGCGCAGGCGGUUUUGUAAGCCAGGUGUGAAAUCCCCCGGGCUCAACCUGGGAAUGGCAUUUGGGGACUGCAAGGCUGGAGUGCGGCAGAGGAGACUGGAAUUCCUGGUGUAGCAGUGAAAUGCGUAGAUAUCAGGAGGAACACCGAUGGCGAAGGCAGGUCUCUGGGCUGACACUGACGCUCACGCACGAAAGCGUGGGGAGCAAACAGG